rnacentral:rRNA from 1 species
AGAGUUUGAUCCUGGCUCAGGACGAACUGGCGGCGUGCCUAAUACAUGCAAGUCGAGCGGACAGAUGGGAGCUUGCUCCCUGAUGUUAGCGGGACGGGUGAGUAACACGUGGGUAACCUGCCUGUAAGACUGGGAUAACUCCGGGAAACCGGGGCUAAUACCGGAUGCUUGUUUGAACCAUGGUUCAAACAUAAAAGGUGGCUUCGGCUACCACUUACAGAUGGACCCGCGGCGCAUUAGCUAGUUGGUGAGGUAAUGGCUCACCAAGGCGACGAUGCGUAGCCGACCUGAGAGGGUGAUCGGCCACACUGGGACUGAGACACGGCCCAGACUCCUACGGGAGGCAGCAGUAGGGAAUCUUCCAAUGGACGAAAGUCUGACGGAGCAACGCCGCGUGAGUGAUGAAGGUUUUCGGAUCGUAAAGCUCUGUUGUUAGGGAAGAACAAGUACCGUUCGAAUAGGGCGGUACCUUGACGGUACCUAACCAGAAAGCCACGGCUAACUACGUGCCAACGCGGUAAUACGUAGGUGGCAAGCGUUGUCCGGAAUUAUUGGGCGUAAAGGGCUCGCAGGCGGUUUCUUAAGUCUGAUGUGAAAGCCCCCGGCUCAACCGGGGAGGGUCAUUGGAAACUGGGGAACUUGAGUGCAGAAGAGGAGAGUGGAAUUCCACGUGUAGCGGUGAAAUGUAGAGAUGUGGAGGAACACCAGUGGCGAAGGCGACUCUCUGGUCUGUAACUGACGC